rnacentral:lncRNA from 1 species
AGGGUAAAUCAUUAUGGUGAGCACAGAAUUAUUCUGGGGUGCAAUAUGACACUUACUCUGAACCUGAGGGAAAAGGUCAUUUAAUCUGUUUUAGCUCCAGAUGCCUCUUCUAUAACUGCUAUCUCUAAAAUGGAGAUAACAAUACUUUCUACCUCACAGAAAUAUUGUAAAGAUUAAAUGAGAUAAUGAAUUUGAACCAUUUAGCCCAGUUCCUGGAAACAAAUGUUAGCUCCUAACAAUAAUAAAAAUAACAAUACAAUGCCUUGCCACCUAUGAAAACUGCUAAGUGGUUCUGGAAAUUUACCAACCUGCUUUCAAGAGGGGCUCUGACUCCGCUCAUGGUACACUUGUUUGAAAUUUUUCAAAAAGAAUUUAUCUGUAUGCUUAAAUGCUACAAGCAUCACACUUGGGUACUCUGGCCAGCAUCCUUAAUUUUAGGCUGGUUCUAGGUGAACGAAGCCCAUGGCCUUGGUUAACUAUCACAGCAGAAAAAUGGUAAGAAGGAAACUCGAUUGGAAGGAAUCUGUCCAGAUGUUUAUUUCCCUUCAUUUAGGUCCAUAUAACAUAUAGAUCAAAUGCUCAGAGCUAUUAGGAGCAGAGAAAAAUGCCAGAAUCGAUGCUGCAACACAUUUUGCGUUCACCCUGAAUUAAUGCCUCUAUAUAAAUGUUGUUGCUGAUUUAACUUCUUGUUAACGGCCUUAAAUGUUUGACCCGUAUCUUUGCCUGCUUGAAUACAGGAAAAUCUACAUCAUGGAUUUCCCUGUAGAGUCAUGAGACAGGAAUGUGCAAAGCCAAAAGAGACAGCUGGGAAGUGUAGCAGAAGUGAGUGACCCUGCCCUUCUUGGGAGGUCAUCCUUGGAGAAAAAGCUGACACCCUCACAUCACAAAAUGUAACACCCUUGACGUCACGAUUUGUUUGGAUGCAAUUCUAUUUCAUGUUGAACCAUUAACAUGGAAUGGAAUAAAAUAGAAUGGCUAUAAUUUACUGAGUGCUUAAGGACAGUCUUUAUUAAAAGCAAUUGGAUUAAUAAUCUCUGAAUUGUCAUGAAUCUGCAAGUGUCCAGGAUUUCACAUGAAGAAGAUGAGAGAAGACAACUCAGAGCGUGGAGUGACUUCCCUUCAUUUUAAGUGAGCCAGUCCUCAGAAAAUUUCCUGGGUAUUAGUGUUUCUGCUCAAGACACGAGCUUAUUAGAAAUAAAAAAUAGUUUAUUAGAAAUAAGAAAUAGCUUAUUAGAAAUAAAAAAUAGCUUAUUAGAAUGAAAAUGAUGUUUAAAAGGACUAAUAACUUCUUAAGAUGAUGUAACUUUUAAUAGACAACAUGUCAACUGUGUUAGGUGCAUCUCUGUAAAAUAUUCUGAGAUGUGAAGCUUGUUAAUAAAAUUACAGCACAACUCAAUUUGACACAAAUGCCACAUGAUAUCAAAAAAACCUGAGAGCCUAUAGGACCAAGCAAAGUAUUUGUGCAGUACCCUUAACUAUUCAUCUCAUCUUUUCAUAUACAAACAAUACAAAUAAGAAGACUAGAGGAAAAUUAGAGAGCAAUUUCCAUUAGGGAUUGCCAAUAAAGACACAUCCCUGAUAGGAAAACAAAUCAAAACAAAACAAAACAUAUUCUGGUAUUUAAAGAGAAGUCCCAAGGAUGACAUUUUCCCUUGAUACGUAUCCUCAGCCACUCAGUGCUAAACUCUUUACCCCUGACUCGCCUCAGUAGUGAGACUUGGGUACUUCAUUAUUCAGGUCGCCUUUAUCAUCCUCCAGAAAGCUCAGGUUAGCAUGGGGGCAGGGGAGGGAGAUGUUCCUUAAAUGAAUGUCUGUGACGAGACCAGAAUUUGUGAUUAUACUUUGGUUUGAAGAAUAUCCAUGCAUCCUAUAAACACACUAUUGACAUAGCACCUACUUUUGUAAAGGUAGAGAUGAUACAGUUUUUGUAAAUGCUACUGUCUUCAGAAGGAUGAUGGAAACCUGAAGGUACUAUCCACAUCUAGCAAAUGUUAUCUUGGAAUCUUUUUCUUUAUAUCUUAUUCUUUUUCACCAAUAAGCAUGAAUCAUCUUCUCUUGCUGUUUCCUUUCCUUGUCUUUUUUAUUACAAAAUUAAAAAUUACUGAACAGUUGCCCAAAACACUGUAGAUUUCAUAUCUUGUUUGGGCUAAUUAUAUCAUCUGGCCUGCCAAAAUGGUUUCAUUAAUGAGCUUACAUUGCAGGAGCUUUCUAAUCAAUUCUUUGACACUAAAUGAAGGACCCCACCCAUAUUUAAGGAUCUGAAGCCUGAAGCAGAGAGCAGCUUCUAUGUGGAGGGUAGGUUGUUAGAGCUCUAGGCAAUCUGAUGCCUACAUCUCUCCCCACCUCUGCUGUUGUGGCUGCUUUGUUAUUACUUUGAAUUGUGGAAAGACUCUCUGUGGUUCCCCAGCCUCAAUUUUCUUCUUGGGUCCUAUGAUCUCAGACCUGUUGCUGGUAGUGGCUUCAAAACCAUUUGAGGAUUCCAUAUCUAUUCACAGACAAGGUGUUCCAGGCUACGCUAUGGAAGUCAACUUUGUGGGAUUGAAACGUUAAGCUGGAAUCCUUUCGACUUUUAUGAAUGCAAGAGCUUGUCAGGUAAGCAAAAGAAAAACAGGUGAAGAAACAGGAUGCCGUUGUAAGCAGUGAGCCGGGCUUUGGCGGUAAGAGACAUAGCCAUUAUGUGAGCACAGUGCAGACAAGGAAACAGAAGAGUUGUGAUUAUAGACUAGAGUUAAUCCAAACAAGAACUGUGUUAGAAUUUUGAAGGUUUUACCUUUUGAACACCAGACUUACUACUUUAAAUACAUAGAUAUAUUUUUAAUGAGCAUAUAAUCAAGAUUUCCCACUACUCAUGUUUACUGAGCAUUUGUCAGAUGUGAGGCAUUUUACUUUGUACUAUGGGGUUCUCAGAGGACUUGGUCCUUCUUUUCAACCAUCUUACAUUAAAAUGAAGAUGUAUUAGAAAACAAAUGCAUUCAUGACAUAAAAAUCCACUGAGCUAAUUAACAGUCAAGGCAAGGACGAAACAGAAAGAUGUGGUUGGGUUGAACUGGCUAAUUCUAGUACAGAUCUUGCUAUAACACAUGAAAAACUGAAGUAUAGGGAAGUAGAGCUACUGCUUCAAGCAGAGCAAUGAGGUUUUGAUAAUAAUUUCAAUUAUUUAAAAUUAAAUGAAUCAAAUAUAUGUAUUUUAAAGUUCAAUACAAUCCAAAGGUUUAGAAUUAAGGGUAUAAAAAAUAAAAGUAGAUCAAGAGCAAAAUAAUAAUUACAUCUUACCUAUAUGCUUAACAAACUUGACACAUGGCAUAAUUCAAAUGUAGACUUCAUAUAAUGUAUUCUGAUUUUAUAGCAAUAUUUCUCUUUAACAUGUACCAGAUUUUUCUUUAUGUGUCUGUUUGUAGUAAGUCUGUUUCUCAAAGUCACUUCCCAUUUUAAAAUUGAUUUAAUCAAUGAUAUAAUUUUUAAAUGGUGAGUAAAUUAUCUGCUAACAACACUAAAGAAUUUUAUAGUAGAUUUUAUAAUUUCUUGUAGAAUCUAGUAUUUUUCAUUAUAAUUGAACUUAAGUAAUUUAUUGUGUAAUUACUUGUUUAAUGCCUGUCUUAAUCCUACUAGAAUAUAGGUUCCAUGAAGGUCCAAGUCUUGUCUUAACACUUAGAAAAGGGGUCUCCAAACCCGUGGCCAAAGGCCAGUACUGGUCUGUGGCCCGUUAGAAACUGGGGCCACACAGCAGGAGGUGAGCAGCAGGUGAGCAAGCAAAG